GGGGAGGGGCCUUGAUUGCGUCAGGUCUUGACAGCGCUGGCUGAUGAGUGUCUUCUGGCUGCUGGUGCACGUUUACCGUGGAUUUUUUGAAAGCAACGUGACAUGGUUCUUGUGAAGAUGCAGUGGAAAUGUAAGUUUUGUGAAUUUACAUGUAACAAACGGGGUUACCUAUUAAAACAUUAUAGGUUAAAACAUGGAUGUUACAGCAGAACUGUUCCAUUUCCUUGCCUACAUCAAGAUUGUUGCAUUGUUUUUUUUAUAGUUCAGUUAUUGAAAACGUCACAAUAAGUGAUACUAUAUUGGUUGUCUAAUACAAUUGUCCAACAAAAUUGUGCUUUGUUGGUUCUGCUCUCUUCUAGAUCAUUUCCUGUUAUUCUAGCUAUUUACCUUUUGUUUUGUUUUUUUACUACCCAACAGACUCAAAAGCCAACUGAUAUUAGGUCACUGGUGCUCAGAGGGCUCCCGAUUCUCCUUGGUGACAACCCCACAGAUUUCUUCAAAGCAUGCUUUGUAAGUAACUUAUUUUCUCAAAGGUUAUCUUAAAGGACCAUGAAAACAUAAUCAUUUUAUUAAUAGAUAGUCCUUGUAUUUGAUAAAACGUUUACACAUUGC
rnacentral:lncRNA from 1 species